UACGGAGGGUGCUAGCGUUGUUCGGAAUCACUGGGCGUAAAGCGCGUGUAGGCGGCCCACUAAGUCUGAUGUGAAAGCCCGGGGCUCACCCCCGGAAGUGCAUUGGAAACUGGUGGACUCGAGUCCCGGAGAGGAGAGUGGAAUUCCUGGUGUGGCGGUGAAAUGCGUAGAUAUCAGGAGGAACACCGGUGGCGAAGGCGGCUCUCUGGACGGUGACUGACGCUGAGACGCGAAAGCGUGGGGAGCAAACAGG
rnacentral:rRNA from 1 species